UGGGGAAUAUUGCACAAUGGGCGCAAGCCUGAUGCAGCAAUGCCGCGUGAGUGAAGAAGGCCUUCGGGUCGUAAAGCUCUUUCGAUAGAGAAGAAGUGCAGGCGUACUAACACUACGUUUGUAUGACGGUAUCUGAAGAAGAAGCACCGGCUAACUCUGUGCCAGCAGCCGCGGUAAUACAGAGGGUGCGAGCGUUGUUCGGAAUCACUGGGCGUAAAGAGCACGUAGGCGGGCUUGCCAGCCAUCUGUGAAAUCCCCGAGCUUAACUUGGGAAUUGCAGUUGGAACAGCAAGUCUUGAAUGCCUCAGAGGGUGACGGAAUUCCUGGUGUAGAAGUGAAAUUCAUAGAUAUCAGGAGGAACACCGGAGGCGAAGGCGGUUGCCUGGGGGUGCAUUGACGC
rnacentral:rRNA from 1 species